CGCUCAUCCAGAGGGGCAGAGGGACACGGCCCGAUGAAGCCCCGGCAACCCUCCAGUCGGUUCUCGUAGAUCAGUGUUGAUCGUUCAGCGAGGCUCCCGGCUCGGGAAGGUGCCAAAUCCGUCUCACGGCGAAGUGCGUCGUGAGGAAGAUGAGGA
rnacentral:ncRNA from 2 species